AACACUGUUAACCUGCGGUACCUGCGGAAGGAUCAUUACAGAGUUGCAAAACUCCCUAAACCAUUGUGAACGUUACCUAAACCGUUGCUUCGGCGGGCGGCCCGGGUCCUUCCCGGCGCCCCUCGGCCCUCGCGGGCGCCCGCCGGAGGUAAACCAAACUAUUGCAUUGUAUGGCCUCUCUGAGUCUUCUGUACUGAAUAAGUCAAAACUUUCAGCAAUGGAUCUCAGAUCGGAAGAGCA
rnacentral:misc_RNA from 1 species